AUUCGGCCUGACAUUUGUGGUCCUCUACGGUGCCUAUUCGCUUGCUUUUUGGUACAGCUCGGUUUUAGUAGCAGCAUCCAGGCUGUAUCCCGGCAGGGCAUUCAUUGUAUUCUUUGCAGUCAUGGUGGGCUCCUUUUCACUGGGAAAUGCUCUGCCGCAGCUCAACAGCAUCGCUGUGGCACAAAUGGCGGCUGGCUGUGUCUUUGAAGUCAUUGACGGA